AUGGGAAUGGGUGCAGGCAUGAAUAUGGGAAUGGGCAUGGGCAUGGGUGGAGGUCGAGGCAUGGGAGGUUAUGGAGGCCUGAAUCAACCCACGGGAAUGGGGAUGGGCAUGAAUCAACCCAUGGGAAUGGGCAUGAACCAACCCAUGGGAAUGGGAAUGGGGAUGGGUGUGAACCAACCCACGGGUAUGGGAAUGGGAAUGGGGAUGGGGAUGGGGAUGGGGAUGGG
rnacentral:misc_RNA from 1 species